rnacentral:rRNA from 1 species
CCUACGGGAGGCAGCAGUGGGGAAUAUUGGACAAUGGGCGCAACCCUGAUCCAGCCAUGCCGCGUGAGUGAUGAAGGCCCUAGGGUCGUAAAGCUCUUUCGCCGGUGAAGAUAAUGACGGUAGCCGGUAAAGAAGCCCCGGCUAACCCCGUGCCAGCAGCCGCGGUAAU